UCUCAAAAAGUUCAAAUUUUACGAUCGUCAAACCUCUCGAUCUCCAACUGAGAAUGCUCCAUGCCUUCACCUCCAAGCUUCCCUCCCUCUCUCUCUCUCUCUCUCUCUCUCUCUCUCUCUCAAGUUGCUUUCCCUCCGUCAGAUAUCUUAGUCGGAGGCCGUCGCAAGGACCGUUUCUAGUGAUUUUGGUUAAUGACAGCGGCGACGGUGUGGCGAAGAUAAAGAAGAACGUAAGAUCGAUUUCCGGGUCUUCGUUCGGCUUGGGUCAAUUACGUCAUUGAAGGAACCUUGGUUGAUUGGCUUAAUGGGAAUACUAAGGCAUUUUUCGGUAAUAGCCAUUAUCUCCAGGAAGAAUCUUGGAUUCCAAAUGCUUUUGUUCCUUAUGGCCUGUACUUCUUGAAUGUCAUCUUAAAUAUACUGAACAAGGUCUACAAUUAUUUACCAUAAUUAUAGUAAGUUUUAUUUCGGCUUCCUUUUACAGUUUUUCUGUCUUGAAAAGUGAAACAAGUUGCAGCAUGUGGAGGAGUUUCUGGGUUGUAAACAUUUUACUCAAAAUCUGAUCAAUGGUUUUAUGGUAAAUGAGUCAUACAGGGACUUGUCUUAUAACAAUCUUAGUGGACCAAUACCCAAAUUCCCAGCCAGAACUUUCAAGUAUGCUCUCUCUCUGUCUCUCUCUCUCUCUCUCCUGCUCUCUCUUUCUUUGUGUGGUCAUUGUUGUAUUGUUCUUUCUGAUUUUCUCUGUUUUGUUGGUAUAUUAGUGUUGUAUGCUCUCUCUCUUUUGCUACUGUGAUUUAUUCAAUAUCCAUGUAUUUGCCAAAAGAUUUUGUUAGUAGUUAGGCAUAUCUCAACUCCCAUAAGCUUUGCUGUACUUGUGAUAAUCUGCUAGGUAGAACUUUACACAGUAGUGUUUUGGUGUGAUAUACAUGGCCAGGUUUUAAACCAAAUAUGCUUUUCUUGUGAUUUGGGUUUGCUGUACUAAGCCAAAUUACCUGUAGGACAAUUAUGACUCUCAUUCCUGCAAUUUUGGUACUUGCUCAAAUAGAAAAGAAUAGGAAAAAAUGUGCCUGCGUUUUGUUACUGCUACAUCCCUAUAAUAUACUAGAGAUUAUAGGACAAUUCUUAUACUAGAGAUUCUGUUAUCUGCAUCGUUCUGUUCUUUGAUCUUUGUGCAGCCUGUGUGUAAUAUUAUUCUAGCAUGUUGUUUAUUACGAGACCAAAAUUAGACGAUGUUUUUUUGUGUUUAUGGAAGCACAGUGGCUGGCCCGUUAACUUCAUCAAGUUACUUUAAUAUAUGUCGCUAUUCGAGGUAAAUAAUGUUUUUCAGUUGCAUAACUGUGGCUCAUGUCAGUUGCUUUAUCCUUUAGACUCUGAGUGCAUCUUGUAUUAGCCUGAUUAGUUCAAAUGUGCUUGCUACUGUGCUAGGCUUUUGUUGUCCUUAUUGGUUGAGAUUUUUACCUAAACUCAAGUCAACAAGAAUUUGAUAGAUUUAGUUCAUGCUUGAAUUGCUAAAUUGGAGGUUAUAAAAAGUAUUGAUCAGAUAUGGACUAAUUGUGAUACGUUCGCCGUUUUGGACUUUGAAAGUCUCGUAAUGUUUUGAAACUUUUCAGUUCAGACAUGGGCCUCGGUUUUACAAUUGUACCGUGAUAAUUGAACAUGGUGAAGAUGCAACAGUUGUUAACUUAUCUGAAGAUGAUCAAGGCCUGGUAGCGGGGCAGUUUGUGGCUUUCUACCGGGGAAGAACCUGCUUACUUGCUUAGCCUCUCAACUAAUUUUGGAGUGUGAUGAUCAAGGUUUUCCUGUAUGUACAAAAGCUCUUGAAAAUGCUAGGAAUGCGGUUCACGUAUUCAAUAUAAUGUGAAAAUGCAGUUCAUGAAAAUGCUACAUUUGAAAUUUUGACUAAUUUAAGUUUGUCAAUAUAAUGGAUAAUUUU